rnacentral:rRNA from 1 species
UACGUAGGGACCAAGCGUUGUUCGGAUUUACUGGGCGUAAAGGGCGCGUAGGCGGCGUGACAAGUCACUUGUGAAAUCUCCGGGCUUAACUCGGAACGGCCAAGUGAAACUGUCAUGCUAGAGUGCAGAAGGGGCAAUCGGAAUUCUUGGUGUAGCGGUGAAAUGCGUAGAUAUCAAGAGGAACACCUGAGGUGAAGACGGGUUGCUGGGCUGACACUGACGCUGAUGCGCGAAAGCCAGGGGAGCAAACGGG